rnacentral:rRNA from 1 species
GAUGAACGCUGGCGGCGUGCCUAAUACAUGCAAGUCGAGCGAACGGACGAGAAGCUUGCUUCUCUGAUGUUAGCGGCGGACGGGUGAGUAACACGUGGAUAACCUACCUAUAAGACUGGGAUAACUUCGGGAAACCGUAGCUAAUACCGGAUAAUAUUUUGAACCGCAUGGUUCAAAAGUGAAAGACGGUCUUGCUGCCACUUAUAGAUGGAUCCGCGCUGCAUUAGCUAGUUGGUAAGGUAACGGCUUACCAAGGCAACGAUGCAUAGCCGACCUGAGAGGGUGAUCGGCCACACUGGAACUGAGACACGGUCCAGACUCCUACGGGAGGCAGCAGUAGGGAAUCUUCCGCAAUGGGCGAAAGCCUGACGGAGCAACGCCGCGUGAGUGAUGAAGGUCUUCGGAUCGUAAAACUCUGUUAUUAGGGAAGAACAUAUGUGUAAGUAACUGUGCACAUCUUGACGGUACCUAAUCAGAAAGCCACGGCUAACUACGCG